rnacentral:misc_RNA from 1 species
CUCAAGUCAAGACACUAAUUUCAUUGAAAAAAAUAUGUUACAAAUGUGUAUGUUCAAGUAUGGUAUAAAACAUAUAUAAAUAAUGUAACACAUAUAUAUAGGACUCAUAGAGUAAUUACCCAUGCCAUUGCCAAGUGCAAGUGGGUUUCAUGGGAAUGUUUGAAAUAAUUACAAAAAUGAUAAUUGCUUAAUUAAUUCUCACUAUCACACAAACUAUCACACAAUGACUACACUCAAAUCAAGCCAAGAAAUCCUCUUAUUAAACUCUUGACAAUUCUUCUCCUUCAAGAACUUUACCUUCUUCUUUAAUCAUAGUCCCUAGAAUAGACAGCUCUUCUUCCUCCUUGUUAAACCCAUUCCCUUCAUCCCUAACCUUUGUUAUUUGUUCCUUGCAAGGUCCAUAAGCCCAGCUACAGAACAGAAAAUAUAGCAGAUUAACAGAACUCAUAAUUGCAAGAAGCCAGUAGUAAUUGUCAUAAUGACCCUUGUUAAUAUUAUUUGGAACCCAGCCAUCUUUGCCUCCUUUUGAUGUAAGGUGAUCAACAGCACUCAGAAUAACAGUUGCCAGCAAGUUUGCCACUGCCAUUCCUAGCCCAAAUAGAGCACCAGCAAUGCUUGAUAGGCUCUUGGGAAACUCUGAGUAAUAAAACUCAGUUUGGCCUAUUCCAUUAAAUGCCUCUGCUAAGCCAUUUAAGCAAAACUGUGGUACAAGCCAUAGUGCAGACAUGCCCAACACAGCUUGAGGAUUGUUUAGAUACCCAUGCCCGAUUGCUUUUCUUCGUCGAAUGUUUUCAACAAUUCCUGCAACCACCAUAGCUACGCAGGAAAGAAACAGGCCAAUUCCCAUCCUUAGUUUAACGCCAAGCCUCACUGGCUUACCCUUGAUUUUUGAUGCCAAGGGAAGGAUGGCUCUAUCGUAGAGAACAACCCAUGCUGCUAGAGAGAUGACUACAAACGUAGAAAAAGAGCCUGCUGGGAUUUGGAAAUUGGAGGUUAGGUGUCUGUCCAUGGAACUAGCUUGGAGCAAUUGAAAUGAGCCUUGGCUAACGUUUAUCGACAUCAUAAUCCCCGUAGACCAUAGAGGGAUAACCCUGAUAAUCGCUUUGAGCUCUUCUACUCGUUCUACUGUGCAAAGACUCCAUGGGUUUGAUGCUGAUGCAUCCGGCGCUAAAUCUUGUUCUGGGUUUCCAAUGAUGCAAGCCUUGUUCAAGAACCUAAUUGCAAUAAUUUAUUUUAUUAUUAAUGCAUUGGCUUAUAUAAUGACCAGUAUAAUGAUGAUAUAAACAUACCUUAGAUUCUCAGUUGGUGCGAUGGAUUCUGAAUUCUUCGCGUGAUGAUACUUGCUAUCUGAAUCUCUGGGAGGGAAUGGAACUUUUCUGUUCUUGUAAGCAGCCACUAGAACUUGGGCAAAGCCAGUGAAAAGACUCGUGCUUGCUUUCUGCUUGAGGUAAAGUGGAGAAGCAAUGAAGAACAAGAAAGCGGAGAGAAACAUAAGAAUUGCAGGAACUCCAUAACCCACUCUCCAACCAUGAUGGUCUUGAAUGUAAACAAUUGCUGUCAAAGCAAUCAGAACAGCAAUGGCUGUGGAGGCAUAGUACCAGCCAAAGUAGCUCUCCAAGACCCUCUCGUUUUUGGGGUCAGCUCUGUUGUCUAAUUGAUCAGCCCCAAAUGCUAAGGAGCAUGGCCUAAUGCCACCAGCUCCAAUGGAAAUUAAGCCCAUGGAAGACACAAGCAUAGCCAUUUGGCCUGCUGUUGGGGUUUCACAGCUUGUUUGGGUCAUCUGUUCGCAAGGGGAGGGCCUUAAUUGUGGAAUCAUGGCUGUUAACCACAUGAGGAUCAUCCCCAAGAGACUGGUGAUGGAACCCAGGCCAAUGGUGAGGAAGCGACCCAAGUAUGAAUCAGAGAUGAAAGCACCCAAAAGAGGCAUGAAAUUGGUAGCAGCAUUCCAGAGGAAGAUUGUGGUUGUAGCCUGGGCUACACCCAUAUGAUAGUCUUUUAUCAAGUAGAAUAUCAUGUUUGGUACAAGUCCAUAGCUUGCCACCUUCUCAAAAGCCUCAUUUGCUAUAAUGAAUGGCAUGGUAAUGAGGCCACCUUUUCUUCUUUUAGGAGUGUGUUGGUGGGUGGUCAUGACUUCCCCUUGUCCUGAAGCUGCAGGCUCUUCCAUCUUCUCCAUUGCUGCACUCUAGCUUCCUCAAGGAAUACCAGACCAGAGAAAGAAGAGAGAGAGAGAACUUACAAAAUCUUUUGUCCAAGGUGUUGCUUAGUUUAUGCUAUUUAUUGGACAAAGAAAGAAAGAUCUUUGUGUACAGCUGAACAAUAUUUAAAA